CUCGAGUUGGAAGAGGCG
rnacentral:miRNA from 2 species